rnacentral:lncRNA from 1 species
CCUAGCAAAAGUAGGCAGGGUCCUAGGAGAAUCAGUUAGAAUUGAGGUGUGUAGGAAGUGCGGGGAUCUGAGGGGCAGUAUCCCAGGUUCUUUCCGGACAGAAACAGGUAUAGGCUGGUAGAACAAGAAAGGGCGAGACAUCCAAGCACGUGUGUGCAUGUGUGUGUGUAGUGUUGUGUGUAUAUGCUCAUCUCUGUGCUCAUGUAUGCACGUGUGGAAAUAGGGGGAAAGUACUGUUCUUGACCAUUAUUAGCAAAGGGCCCUGGAAAACGACCUACCGGAAGAAGAGCUGCAGUAUUUUGGGAGUCCGAUAAUCUAUAUCCAGGGCUUGGGAGAACCAGAAUCUGUGUCUGGAGAUCAUCUGUUCCUAACCCAGAAAGAGUAAGCAUCUACACAGCCAGGGUAGGUGGCCAUAGGGAGUUUCUGCCAGGUUUCCCAUUCACCGUUCCCAAUCAGGACCUCAAAGCCAACCCUUUUAAAGGGCAAGGGCACAGAAGGGAGAUGAGGGGCGGGGACCUGGACUCCGAAGAUACCUGCGGGAGAGGACUGUGGCUGGGUCUUCAUAGCCUUCUUGGAAGCUGGAUCCAGAGCAGCCUUUGUUGCUCAGCCCUGCCAGCAGGAGGCACACUAUUCCACCUGUUCAUUGAAGAGAAGGUAGGAUGGGAGCAGGUGUAAAUUUCUCCUAUGACUUUAAAACACUAGCCGAUAUGCAGAUUGAAGAGAUUAAAAUUCUUGCUCCUUUCUUUUCUAUUUUUAUUACCGUGGGGAAGUCACUUAACCUCCCUAAGUCUUGAUUUCCCUAUUCUGUAAAAUGGGGGUACUAGCACUUGUAUUAUCUCACCUUUCUCCUCUGGGUCCGGGCUAUUAUUGUGAACAAAAGCUAACAGCAUAGUGGUGAGGAAAGAACUUUUAAACCAGUAAAGUAGUAUAAAAAUCUGAAUUAUUAUUAGAGUCUCUCCCCAAUUUUUUCUGUUUGGCACCUAAGUACUUUUCUUAUUCUAAAUUAUAUUUAUCUGUGUACCUAUCUCAUUCCUCUACUAGACUGUAAGCUCUACUUAACCAUAGGGGACUGUAUAAUUUUUUCAUCUUCAUAUCUCUGGUGCAUAACACAACAUUUGAUUUUAUAAUGCAUGCUUACAAAAUGCAUGUUGAAUGAAC